rnacentral:rRNA from 1 species
UGGUCAAUGGACGCAAGUCUGAACCAGCCAUGUCGCGUGCAGGAUGACUGCCCUAUGGGUUGUAAACUGCUUUUAUACGGGAAGAAAGGUAYCUACGUGUAGAUAUUUGCCGGUACCGUACGAAUAAGCAUCGGCUAACUCCGUGCCAGCAGCCGCGGUAAUACGGAGGAUGCGAGCGUUAUCCGGAUUUAUUGGGUUUAAAGGGUGCGUAGGCGGAAUGGUAAGUCAGUGGUGAAAGUCUGCAGCUCAACUGUAGUUGUGCCAUUGAUACUGUCAUUCUUGAGUAUAGAUGAGGUAGGCGGAAUGAGUAGUGUAGCGGUGAAAUGCAUAGAUAUUACUCAGAACACCAAUUGCGAAGGCAGCUUACUAAACUAAUACUGACGCUGAAGCACGAAAGCGUGGGUAUCAAACAGGAUUAGAUACCCUGGUAGUCCACGCCGUAAACGAUGAUUACUGGUUGUUUGCAAUACACCGCAAGCGACUGAGCGAAAGCAUUAAGUAAUCCACCUGGGGAGUACGUCGGCAACGAUGAAACUCAAAGGAAUUGACGGGGGCCCGCACAAGCGGUGGAACAUGUGGUUUAAUUCGAUGAUACGCGAGGAACCUUACCUGGGUUUAAAUGGGAAGUGACAGGGGUAGAAAUACCUUUUUCUUCGGACACUUUUCAAGGUGCUGCAUGGUUGUCGUCAGCUCGUGCCGUGAGGUGUCGGGUUAAGUCCCAUAACGAGCGCAACCCCUGUUGUUA